rnacentral:rRNA from 1 species
UGGGGAAUAUUGCACAAUGGGGGAAACCCUGAUGCAGCGACGCCGCGUGAGCGAAGAAGGUUUUCGAAUCGUAAAGCUCUGUCCUAUGAGAAGAUAAUGACGGUAUCAUAGGAGGAAGCCCCGGCUAAAUACGUGCCAGCAGCCGCGGUAAUACGUAGGUGGCAAGCGUUGUCCGGAAUUAUUGGGCGUAAAGCGCGCGCAGGUGGUUUAGAAAGUCAGAUGUGAAAGCCCACGGCUCAACCGUGGAGGGUCAUUGGAAACUAAUAAACUUGAGUGCAGGGGAGAAAAGUGGAAUUCCUAGGGUAGCGGUGAAAUGCGUAGAGAUUAGGGGGAACACCGGUGGCGAAAGCGGCUUUUUGGCCUGCAACUGACACGGGGGCGCGAAAGCGUGGGGAGCAAACAGG